rnacentral:rRNA from 1 species
GAAAUUCUAGGGGAUCCUCCACCACCCAAGGGUGAUCCCGUGUUUGAGCUUAACCCACUCCCUGCUACUCUUAAAUAUGAUUAUCUUGAUGAGAAGAAUAUAUAUCCUAUUAUUAUUAGUGCUAACCUUUCAGAGCGGGAAGAGGAGAAAUUAUUGAAAACUCUGAAAAAGCACCGUGCUGCUAUUGAAUAUACUCUUGAUGAUCUUAAGGGCAUUAGUCCCACUCUAUGCCAACACAAAAUAAAAUUGGAGAAAGACGCCAAACCAGUUAUUGAUCACCAACGACGGUUAAAUCCUAGGAUGAAAGAAGUGGUAAGAAAGGAAAUACUAAAGCUCCUGGAGGCAGGUAUAAAUUAUCUCGUUGCUGAUAGUCAGUGGGUAAGUCAUGUCCAUUGUGUCCCUAAGAAGGGAGAUAUUACUGUCGUUCCUAAUGAUAAAGAUGAAUUGAUCCCACAAAGAAUUGUUACAUGUUAUAGGAUGGUAAUUGAUUUCCGCAAAUUAAAUAAAGCCACUAAAGAGGAUCAUUACCCUUUACCUUUUAUUGAUCAAAUGCUAGAAAGAUUAUCCAAACAUACACAUUUUUGCUUUCUAGAUGGUUACUCUGGUUUCUCUCAACUACCUGUGUCAGCAGAGGAUCAAGAAAAGACCACUUUUACUUGCCCUUUCGGUACUUUUGCUUAUAGACGUAUGCCUUUUGGUUUCUGUAAUGCACCUGCUACCUUUGAAAGAUGCAUGAUGGCUAUAUUCUCUGACUUUGGUGAAUAG